rnacentral:rRNA from 1 species
GUGUGUAUUUGGUGGGUGUGUUUUUGUUUCCGUAUAAUCNUUNGCGAUUGCCCUUUAAAUAUUUGACCCCCCNUGUGUUGNGAAUCGCAGAUUCCCCUAGGGUUUGWUCCUGGCUCARRUUGAACSCUGSCGGCAUGCUUAACACAUGCMAUGUCGAACGGUAACAUGGGAGCUUGCUCCUGAUGACGARUGSCGRACGGKKRAKUWACGCUGUAGGAAUCYGCCUGGUAGARGGGGACAACUUGGGGGAAACCCMAGCUAAUACCGCWUWCSCUCCUUAUUGAAARAUGGGRAGGAAAGCGGGGGAUCCAUUWAUGGACCUCGCACUAUUAGAUGAGCCUGCGUUGGAUUAGCUARUUGSCAGGGUAAAGGCCUUACCAAGGCGACGAUCCAUAGCUGGUCUGAGAGGACGAUCAAGCCACACUGGGACUGAGACACGGCCCAGACUCCUACGGGAGGCAGCAWGUNGCGGGAAUAUUGGACAAUGGGCGCAAGCCUGAUCCAUGCAAUGCCGCGUGUGUGAAGAAGGCACUGAGGGUUGUAAAGCACUUUCAAUUGAGGAGGMWGAAAAUACGUGUUAAUWGCGCGUAUYUUGACAYUACGCUUUAGARGMAGCACCGGCUAACUCCGUGCCAGCAGCCGCGGUAAUACGGAGGGUGCGAGCGUUAAUCGGAAUUACUGGGCGUAAAGCGUACGUAGGCGGUUAGUUAAGUUAGAUGUGAAAGCCUGGGCUUAACCUGGGAACUGCAUUUAAAACUGGCUAACUCGAGUUUAGUAGAGGGGAGUGGAAUUUCAGGUGUAGCGGUGAAAUGCGUAGAGAUCUGAAGGAACACCAGUGGCGAAGGCGACUCCUGGACUAAAACUGACGCUGAGGUACGAAAGCGUGGGUAGCAAACGGGAUUAGAUACCCCGGUAGUCCACGCCGUAAACGAUGUCAACUAACCGUUGNUCUUUAAGGGCUUAGUGUCAGCUAAUAAAUGACGUG